rnacentral:misc_RNA from 1 species
GCAAACUUGGUCAUUUAGAGGAAGUAAAAGUCGUAACAAGGUUUCCGUAGGUGAACCUGCGGAAGGAUCAUUACCAAAUGAAAAUGGAGGAUCAUCCUUAAACGGGGUGGAUUCAUCCUAAUUUCUAUCCAUCCUCUGUGCAUGUGAAUGAACUGUUUGCUUUGACGGAUAUCUUCAGAUCCAUCCGUCAGGGUUUUUUUUUGUCUUCCAAACUUUUUUAAAAUCCUCCAAUAUUUUAUGUUAUCAUAAAAAAAAUAAUAAUAAUUCUAUACAACUUUCAACAACGGAUCUCUUGGCUCUCGCAUCGAUGAAGAACGCAGC